AUUGAACGCUGGCGGCAUGCCUUACACAUGCAAGUCGAACGGCAGCACGGGAGCAAUCCUGGUGGCGAGUGGCGAACGGGUGAGUAAUACAUCGGAACGUGCCCAGUCGUGGGGGAUAGACCGGCGAAAGCCGGAUUAAUACCGCAUACGACCUACGGGUGAAAGCGGGGGACCGCAAGUCCUCGCGCGAUUGGAGCGGCCGACGUCAUAUUAGGUUGUUGGUGGGGUAAAAGCCCACCAAGCCGAGGAUCUGUAGCUGGUCUGAGAGGACGACCAGCGACACUGGGACUGAGACACGGCCCAGACUCCUACGGGAGGCAGCAGUGGGGAAUUUUGGACAAUGGGGGCAACCCUGAUCCAGCCAUGCCGCGUGCGGGAAGAAGGCCUUCGGGUUGUAAACCGCUUUUGUCAGGGAAGAAACGCGCUGAGUUAAUACCUCGGCGUAAUGACGGUACCUGAAGAAUAAGCACCGGCUAACUACGUGCCAGCAGCCGCAGUAA
rnacentral:rRNA from 1 species